rnacentral:rRNA from 1 species
UACGAAGGGUGCAAGCGUUACUCGGAAUUACUGGGCGUAAAGCGUGCGUAGGUGGUUCGUUAAGUCUGAUGUGAAAGCCCUGGGCUCAACCUGGGAAUUGCAUUGGAUACUGGCGGGCUAGAGUGCGGUAGAGGAUGGCGGAAUUCCCGGUGUAGCAGUGAAAUGCGUAGAGAUCGGGAAGAACGCCAAGGGCGAAGGCACUCUGCUAGGCCUGAUUUCGCGACUGACACUCAGGGACGAGAGCCAGGGGAGCGAAUGGG